AUUAGAAUCUCCCUCCCUCUUUCAGAGACUGACAGAGAGAAUGAGAAUAUAGAGUACUGUGACUUCACAGUAUAGUCAGACAGCAUGACUUCCCAACAGGUUAUUCUGCUUUCCUUUGAACACACCUUCUAGGGGACUGUUAAAAGUACUGAUGGCCUGUGAUAAUUGGGGUUUUCGGAGCCUUCCAUAGAAUGAAACGUUCCUUGAAAUGAAUGUUGUGGAAAGCAGCAGGAGACAAAUCUAGCUGUCUCCAUGGUAGCAAGGCCAGGAUGGGAGAGUGGAAGCAAUAGAUGUACAGUAUCUCCUUGAUCUUCUGCUUACAUCUGGAAAUGUGGUAAUCUGUACAGCAGGAGUGGGGAAUCUGUGUCCCUGCAGACAUUGCUCAUAAUCCCUCACUGUUGCCAUGCUGACUGGUGCUGAUGGAACAACAUCAGAGGACCACUGGUUUGCCACUUCUGCAAUAGAAGUAGAGAGAAAUAAGGAUAAAGAAGGAAGAAUGUGGGAAAAUCCCAUGACAUGCCCCUGGUUACCACUGGUCAGCAGUUUGAAUCCCUGUGACGGGAUGAGCUCCCGUUGCUCUGCCCCAGCUCCUGCCAAACUAGCGGUUUGAAAGCACAGCAGUGCAAGUAGAUAAAUAGGUACCACUGCGGCAGGAAGGUAAAUGGCAUUUCUAUGCACUCUGGUUUCCAUCGCGGUGUCCUGCUGCACCAGAAGCAGUUUAGUCAUGCUGGCCACAUGACCCGGAAAGCUGUCUGCGGACAAACGCCGGCUCCCUCAGCCUGAAAGCGAGAUGAGCACCGCAACCCCAUAGUUACCUUUGGCUGGACUUAACCAUCCUGGGGUACUUUACCUUUUUUUACCUACCAUUGCAGAUGAUGUUGCAAACUCCACUAGGGUGUAGGGAGUGCUACUUACCUGUAGGGACUCUUCAGAUUUCACUGGGCUGUCACUAAAUUCAUUGCACUACUUCUCUGUGCAUGAGAAGCUAUUAGAAUACUCACACAAACCUUUUAAAAACUUUUAAGAAUAUAAGCCGAGCCUUCUGGUUCAGGCCAGUGACUCAUCUAGUUCAGAAUCUUGUUAUCACAAAGGCUAACUAGAUACCUAAAGGGAAACCUACAAGCUGGACCCAAGCAUAAGAGCUCUCAGUACCCCUGCAGUUUCUAUCAACUGGUUUUCAGAAGCUGCUGCUUCUUCUUUGGCAAUCACUCAUAGCCGAAUAAGAUUGUCUUCCAUAAACAUAGUUUUAACAGUGGAUCCGUAAGUGACUGUGGAGGCCAAUUCUGGAUCCACGUGUCCUUCCACAGUGGGUUCAUAGGUUUUUGCCAACUGCCAAAGGACUUUUGGGGUUUGGUUUUGGGGUGGGUUUUUGUGCAUGAAUUUGUUUUAUGUGUGUAGAUCAGUGCAUGCUGAUCAACGCACAGUCUUCUCAGUAAGGCUCUAUUCCAAUGGCAUGAAUAUCACAAUGACCAGUAGAUGCUUAUCUGCUGCUGCCUUCAUCCACCUUCACAGCCAUUGUAACAUACCACUUGUUAUCUUUCGCCUGUUGAGGACUUCUUCGAUCAUUCUUUGUCUAGCUCCUCCCCUUUGACCUUACUGCCUUGGGUGACCCUGAUGGGAGUACGAAACUCCCGGCGGCUUCGCUCACAAGGGUCAUAGGAACGUGCAAGCCCACUCACCACGACAAGGUGAUGAUCCAGCGAGUGAGUAUUCAGAAGCAUACUGACUCUGACAGUGGAGAUGAAGUAUAGCUUUCAGGGAUAGUAGCCACUGAUAACCUGGGCCAGUUGUAUGUAUUUCUAAUAAUCCAAUUGUCUUUUGACACACAUUCUUUGCCAUGCUUAUUUCUCAAGCUAUUUUUUUAGAAAAAGAGUUGAUGGAAUGUACCUUGAACACCUCCCUUGUUCUCUUAUAAUGGCCAUGGCACCCAUCUGAGAGGUGCCGGCUGGGAGGGGGGAAAAGCCCUGCUUAUUUCAGUUUGUGAUUCUGUAUGAUCACAAUAAUAGAGAUAAUUGUUGUAUUCUGCUGGGCCCAAGUGGCACAGUGGUUUAACCCACAGCGCCACCCGCUUGCCCAUCGAAAGGUUGUCGGUUCAAAUCCCUGCGACGGGGUGAGCUCCCGUUGCUCUGUCCCAGCUCCUGCCAACCUAGCAGUUCGAAAGCACGCCCAUGCAAGUAGAUAAAUAGGUACCGCUCUGGUGGGAAGGUAAACGGCGUUUCCGUGCCCUGCUCUGGUUUCACCAGAAGCGGCUUAGGCAUAAUGGCCACAUGACCUGGAAAAAAAAUGUCUGCGGAAGCGGACAAACGCCUGGUCCCUCGGCCUGUAAAGCGAGAUGAGAGUCGCAACCCUAGUGUCAUUCGCGACUGGACUUAAUUGUCAGGGGUCCCUUUACCUUUUUUUAUUCUGCUGAGCAACUGCCAUUUAAGGAUAGAGAGGAAGGAGGAGGCUGUUGCUUAUAUAUUUGUCAUUAAUUGACAUUUUUACCACUAUACUAACAUAUGGCAUACGUAUAUAGAAACUGCCAGAUGUCAAGGAGUCUAACUAGUACACCAUGUUCCUUUCUUUUCUCAAUGCUAAUUCAUACACUGUGUAAUAUAAGCCAACGAACCUUGCAAAGCAUUAAUGCUUGAUAACUGCAACCCGUUAGAAAUCACUUCGUUUGGGUUUCAUGAUUUUCAUUCCUUAGGAUCAAUACAGCAAGCACACACACAAAUCUGUCUAGAAGCCAAACUACUGUGGUGUGGCUCAAGAAAUAUGAGAGAGCAGACAAUUUCAUUGCCGUCUUUCAAUCUGUUCCACCCCCCCCCCCAGGGUGUUGGGGGUUGCAAGUUAUUCUUAUCCAGUCUGUGGCUGAAAUAUUUUAGAAUCUCUUGCCUCCUCCCUCCUUUAGUAGAGAGUGUACCAUCAUUCAUCUGGUGCCACAAAAUUGUAAACGGCCAAUGCCUUUGAUGAGUACCUCACUCUGCUCUUGGCUUCUUUCCUGCAUCGCAAAACAGCAAUAGAUUACCUGUGUGAAAUGAUUUAGCUUUAGUGGGUUUUUCUCUGUCUCCCUACACCCAAUAAGAUACCUUCUUCCUGCCCUCCCAAGAUGCAUAGGAUAGAUACAUCGUCAUUCUUUUGGAAAGCAGUAUUGAAUUAUUAUAUGAUUAAAACAGUUAAUGGAUAGAAUCAGAGAGAGAGAGAGAGAGAGAGAGAGAGAGAGAGAGAGAGAUAUUGAGGGGCUGUUUAGGGCUUUCUAUCAGACCAUUGGUCCAUCUAAUUCAGUCUACAGUGGCUAUCAGCAGGUCUCCAAGAUUUCAGUCAAGGGUCAUUUCAACCUCCACCUGAAGAUGCUGAGGAUUAGACAUAGAACCUUCCACAUGCAAAGCAGAAUCUCUUCCACUGAGAUACGGACCGGUGUAUGCCACAUGGCAAGCUCUGUGCUCCACAAGGUAGCCUUCUGCUCUCAGGUGUGAUGGACAAUGCUGAUCCAUUGCCAGAUCUGAAGUAAGGCUACCUCUGCACCAUGCAUUAAAGCAUUCCUAUGCCACUUUAACAGCCAUGACUUCCCCUCUAAAGACCCACAGCAACUGUGGUGGUUUAAAGGGCUGAGUAUUGUUAGGAGAACCCUCACAGAGCUACAAUUCUGUAGCUAUGACCUUAAAAGUCAGCUACCGAUCUUGUUGGCUUCUGAACAUGAAAUGGGUGGGACACCAUCUUGUCCUUUGCCUCAGGCAUCAAAACAUGAAGGACCACUUGCACUUUGUAUUAAUAAUGUUUACAUUGUUUUAACAUCACCAGUAUUGGAGUGGUGUGACUUCAAUGGAAAUGCUUUAAUAUAAUGAGCCACUUUAACUAAUAUUUACAUUGUGUAUUUUCAUAUCACAUAUGAUACUUGGGGAGGCAAAAUAGCUGUUGUAUGCUGACAGUUGUCCACAGCACACUUGCUAUGUCAUAAUUUUAUCUUUAAAAUAUAUGCACGCAGGCCAAUUUAUUCUGAAUUAAACUGGGUACAAAGUCAGGCAAGUUUCUGCACAUCUUCACUACCAAAGGAGGAUUAAAUCCAUUUUACUGUCAUGGCCUCUCCACAAAGGACCCUGUGAAGGACAGUUGUGAGGGUAUACUAAAAAUGUAAGGGACCAAAACCUCCUCCCAGAACGACGUUUCCCGGUGAGGGAAAACAUCCAUGACAAUGCAGGUAAUUUUAAAUCAGGUUGAGGGUACACCAUUUGAUGUUAGGGAUCUGAUUUAAAUGUGUAUAUAUUUCAACAGAGUAGAUCUGCAUGGAAGACUUCUGAGUAUUGUGGACUAGGGUCAUGCUGAGUCUGAAGCAUGACUUCAUGGUGUGAAGCUGCAGAAGUGUCCGUAGAAUUGAGAGAGAACUAUGCUCCGAGCAGCAGCAGGAAGAGGAAUUACUGUACCCAAACUGAAUUAACCCAUCAACAAAAAGUGGCACUCGUAGGUCUCAUCACAUCAAACUGCUGAGAUACAAAUCACCACAUCAGCGCUUUGCCAGACCAGCAAUCUUCUCAGCAAGGCUUAGUUAUUAAGUUGGAAAUUCGCAAGCCUAGCUAAACAGCAUUACUUGCCAGACC
rnacentral:lncRNA from 1 species